CGCGUAGGCGGUUCGAUAAGUCGGGUGUGAAAGCCCUGGGCUUAACCUGGGAAUUGCAUUCGAUACUGUCGAGCUAGAGUAUGGUAGAGGAAAGCGGAAUUCCACAUGUAGCGGUGAAAUGCGUAGAUAUGUGGAGGAACAUCAGUGGCGAAGGCGGCUUUCUGGACCAAUACUGACGCUGAGGCGCGAAAGCGUGGGGAGCAAACA
rnacentral:rRNA from 1 species